UACAGGCUUAACACAUGCAAGUCGAGGGGCAGCAUGAUCGAAGCUUGCUUUGAUUGAUGGCGACCGGCGCACGGGUGAGUAACGCGUAUCCAACCUUCCCUAUAGUAGAGAAUAGCCCGGCGAAAGUCGGAUUAAUGCUCUAUGUUGUAUUUAGAGGACAUCUGAAGAAUACCAAAGGUUUACCGCUAUAGGAUGGGGAUGCGUCUGAUUAGGUAGUAGGCGGGGUAACGGCCCACCUAGCCGACGAUCAGUAGGGGUUCUGAGAGGAAGGUCCCCCACAUUGGAACUGAGACACGGUCCAAACUCCUACGGGAGGCAGCAGUGAGGAAUAUUGGUCAAUGGACGGAAGUCUGAACCAGCCAAGUAGCGUGCAGGAUGACGGCCCUAUGGGUUGUAAACCGCUUUUAUAUAGGGAUAAAGUCGGGGACGUGUCCCCGUUUGUAGGUACUAUAUGAAUAAGGACCGGCUAAUUCCGUGCCAGCAGCCGCGGUAAUACGGAAGGUCCAGGCGUUAUCCGGAUUUAUUGGGUUUAAAGGGAGCGCAGGCUGAUGAUUAAGCGUGACGUGAAAUGUAGCCGCUCAACGGCUGAACUGCGUCGCGAACUGGUUAUCUUGAGUGAGUUCGAUGUUGGCGGAAUUCGUGGUGUAGCGGUGAAAUGCUUAGAUAUCACGAAGAACUCCGAUUGCGAAGGCAGCCAACAAGGCCUUUACUGACGCUAAAGCUCGAAGGUGCGGGUAUCGAACAGGAUUAGAUACCCUGGUAGUCCGCACGGUAAACGAUGGAUGCCCGCUGUUUGCGAUAUACUGUGAGCGGCA
rnacentral:rRNA from 1 species